UAAAUACUCUCUAGUGACCGAUAGUGAACCAGUACCGUGAGGGAAAGGUGAAAAGCACCCCGGAAGGGGAGUGAAAUAGAACCUGAAACCGUGUGCUUACAAGUAGUCAGAGCCCGUUAAUGGGUGAUGGCGUGCCUUUUGUAGAAUGAACCGGCGAGUUACGAUUUGAUGCAAGGUUAAGCAGUAAAUGUGGAGCCGUAGCGAAAGCGAGUCUGAAUAGGGCGUUUAGUAUUUGGUCGUAGACCCGAAACCAGGUGAUCUACCCUUGGUCAGGUUGAAGUUCAGGUAACACUGAAUGGAGGACCGAACCGACUUACGUUGAAAAGUGAGCGGAUGAACUGAGGGUAGCGGAGAAAUUCCAAUCGAACCUGGAGAUAGCUGGUUCUCUCCGAAAUAGCUUUAGGGCUAGCCUCAAGUGAUGAUUAUUGGAGGUAGAGCACUGUUUGGACGAGGGGCCCCUCUCGGGUUACCGAAUUCAGACAAACUCCGAAUGCCAAUUAAUUUAACUUGGGAGUCAGAACAUGGGUGAUAAGGUCCGUGUUCGAAAGGGAAACAGCCCAGACCACCAGCUAAGGUCCCAAAAUAUAUGUUAAGUGGAAAAGGAUGUGGCGUUGCCCAGACAACUAGGAUGUUGGCUUAGAAGCAGCCAUCAUUUAAAGAGUGCGUAAUAGCUCACUAGUCGAGUGACACUGCGCCGAAAAUGUACCGGGGCUAAACAUAUUACCGAAGCUGUGGAUUGUCCUUUGGACAAUGGUAGGAGAGCGUUCUAAGGGCGUUGAAGCAUGAUCGUAAGGACAUGUGGAGCGCUUAGAAGUGAGAAUGCCGCUGGGAGUGGCGAAAGA
rnacentral:rRNA from 1 species